rnacentral:lncRNA from 1 species
CUCCUCCCCUCCCCCUACCCUCCAUACACACACUCACAUCCACGUCCCUAAUGUUUACCCCACAGAGGACAAUAUGACCAAGUAAUUAUGAGGCAAGGGUGGAAAAGCAAUACUUAUUGGAAAAAGUGGGAAGAGAAGAGGUUGGCACUCCAGGAGAUGAGGCUUCCUUUCUCUGCUCUAACCCCGGACACCUGGCUUAUCAAGUUAGUUUUGUUUAGAGGACUCACACACUUGCUUCAUUUUGGAAAGGUAGGCCAAGAACUCAUUACCAUAUUCAUCUAGUUUUCUCACAGGAAGGGUGAGAUAUGACUUGGCAACUCCCUUUUCUAAAUUGUUCUUUACUGACUUUUUCCUUAUUUAUCAUCUGACCUUCAUCUUGCCUAGUUUCUGGAGCAGCUUUCCUGGUUUUUGUUGCUUUACUCUCAAUGCAUACCCAUCGUGUAGCAGGUCCAAUACAUGUUUGAAUUUAGGGGACUUUAGUCAUGCUGUAGCUCCCAGCUUGAGAAGCUCCUAGCCAGAUGUGGCUAUAGACAGUUGAAAUGUGUUUAGUAUAAGAAUUCUAGUUUAGUUAAGAACAGCUACUCUGUUCAGCUGCUGGAAAACAAGUAUGUUCGGAACAAUUUGGGUAUGUAAAUCUAGUUUUACAAUAUAAAUCUCAUAAGACCUAAAAAUUUAGUAUUUCUAGCUAAUGUUCAACCUGAAAAUUGAGAUUUGCUAUAAAUAUACACUGUGUGAAAAAAUAAAUCUCAAAUCUUUGUUAUAAGUGAGAUUUUAGAUGCAUUGUUAAAUACAAUUAAAAUGAAUUUCAUUUACGAUUGCUCCGGUGAAGUACAGUUACAUUUAAGUUGUUUAAUGACCAGGUUAACCACUAUCACCACUGCAAUCCAAGGCUAUUGCUUUUCCCUUUAAAAGGGUUGGUCUUUAGCACAUCAGAAGGUAGUCAGUAGUGUCCGAGCUUUGCUUCAGGCAUCUAGCUUAGCCACAUCUCCCCAUCAUCAGACAAGCCUCAGAUAAACUUUUG